rnacentral:tRNA from 1 species
GCCUUAAUGGUGUUGUGGUCAGCACACUCGGCUCGUAUUCGAGAGAUCCGUGGUUCGAAUCCCUGCCAAGGCA